UUGCUUUUAAGGAGAUCAGGCACUCACCAGUCAGCAUGAACUGAUAGGCGUUGUCAGAGAUGGAGAAGAUGUGUGGAGGGGCCUCCUGGCGCUUUUUGCCUCGGUAGGCCAACACCACCUCCGGGUUGUACACCGGCAGCCACUUGUAGGGGUUGACAGUGACACAGAAGAGGCCCGAGUAGGUCUGUGAGGAAGGGACACGGCAUGCUGGCUUCCACUCAGCCUGGCACAGCAGUCCUCCCCAGCUACGCUGCCCAAGCAAGAGAGCUGCUGGUACUUACGUAGAUCAUCCAGGCUGCAUAACGCUCUUUGAGGUUGUACAGCACAG
rnacentral:lncRNA from 1 species